rnacentral:rRNA from 1 species
AUUGAACGCUGGCGGCAGGCUUAACACAUGCAAGUCGAACGAGUGGCGGACGGGUGAGUAAUGUCUGGGAAACUGCCUGAUGGAGGGGGAUAACUACUGGAAACGGUAGCUAAUACCGCAUACCAUCAGAUGUGCCCAGAUGGGAUUAGCGAGUAGGUGGGGUAAUGGCUCACCUAGGCGACGAUCCCUAGCUGGUCUGUGCGGAUGACGAGCCACACUGGAACUGGUACACGGUCCAGAGUCCUACGGGAGGCAGCAGUGGGGAAUAUUGCACAAGGGGCGCAAGCCUGAUGCAGCCAUGCCGCGUGUGUGAAGAAGGCCUUCGGGUUGUAAAGCACUUUCAGCGAGGAGGCGUUACUCACAGAAGAAGCACCGGCUAACUCCGUGCCAGCAGCCGCGGUAAUUC